GUCUGUGGUGGCAAGGUUGGUCGCCUGCAAGACAAGAAAUAAACUCAAAAUCCACCAUUUAAAAUUGAAAAUAAAAUGAAAAUAAAAUUCCCAAAUGCAAAAAUGCUUCCAGCAGAUUAUUAACCCCGGAACUUAAUCCUCUCUAAUCUACUUGAUCAAAAAGACAUUUUUUCACAAAAUUAAGUGAGAUUUCCGCCUGGUAUUUAGUAAUUAUUCGCUUAUUAUAAUUGAGCUUUUCUAUGUGUGUAUUUU
rnacentral:misc_RNA from 1 species